CUUCUUCUAUAGUUACUCUGAUUUUUUUCAUAAAUGCGUCUCGCUGGGUUCAUUUCUCCUACUACACAAAAAUAUGUAUAGAUAUAAAAAAAGCGAGCCAGAUAAAACUAGAGCGCGUUUAUCAAAUUAAACGACGACUUCGAAGUUGACUCCCACAAACUGUCCACGUUAAUCAUACUCUUGACUUUCGAAAAAUAUAGUUUUAUUGUUAUUAUUAUUAUUAUUAAUUAAAACUUUCCUAUGUAUUUCCCAAGUUCUCAAUCCUUGCUCCUGACGCGGCUUCUUUCGAGAUAUUACUUUGAAGAGCUGGCUCCGCUUUUGAUACGUUUUGGGGGAAUUUUGAAUUUUCGAUUGUUUUUUCGUAUGGAAAGCUAACAUUUUUGGUGGUGAUUUUAGAUCCGAAAGCAAAGAGGAGGGGACGUAACAAUGGCGUUGGCUUGUUCCUCGGCUCUUUCCUCACUCUUCUUCUCUUUUAUUUCUGAUGUUGCUUUAUGUUGCGGCUGAAAAUUCUAUGUUUUUUGAGAGUAACGGAAGCGCCUAUUACCUGCUUGAAGUAAAGAAGUUGAUUGAUUUUUCUUUUUUUUUGGUUUUUUAAACGAAAAUUUAUCGAAUUCAGUUGGUACUGUUAUUUCUGGUACUUAAAUUGUGUAAUUAUUAGAUAAAAAUGCAGUCUUGGUCCUUCAUCAUGCCGAAUCUAUUUGAAAGGCUGAUUAUUUCUUCGUUUUUUUGACUAUCUAAUUUGGUGCUGUGGGUGACCUAGAAGACAUAUUGGGCUUAUUCUUUAUAGUAUGUAUUUGAGGGCUUUAUGUGGCUUGGGGCUUUUUUCGUUAAAAGUAGGAAAUAUGUAAUAUAGUGGUGCGCCGUGCCUAAAUGCAUAUUGUUGCCCCUUGCAUGUUCUGAAUUGAAGAAUGUGGUGUUGAUAUGGCAUUCUCAUCAAGAUCCCUGGCUCAGAAAAUGUGCUAAAUGAUAUAAACCCUAGUUCUAACCGCUGAUGAGGUCAUUGUUACUGGUCAUGUAGUGUUUAAUUUAACUAGGGUCCCUGUUUGUUGAAGACAUGCCGACUGGCUCGGUUUUAUAUGAUAACAUGAGGAAAUUAAGAGAAUAAGAGGUUGAUUAUUUGUGAAGUUGGUAGGGUUUCAGCAAAUCAGAGUGGCUAGAUAGUUUUAUGUCAAUUUAUCUUUUUCUUAUUAUCACAGUUAUUUGGGUAUGAUGUUUUGGGUUUAGGUCUUAUGAUAGUGUAAGGCUAAAGAAUUUACCCAUUUGGUGCGAUUGGUGGUUUUAGUAACAGCUCUGUGUUCACAUAAGUUGUAAAAUAUAGAGGCAACAAAAUCUAUUUUGUUAACAAAAUAGAAAGACCUUCUGGCAAGUUCUUUGUAUAAAUGGAGUCUGGCUAUGAUGUUUGGGUUUUCCAUUAUUCAAUCAAUUGGAUGGUGCCAUCCCAGCUAGAGUUUCUAAAGAAAUCUUUCUCAGUGAUUAGACCCACAUGAUCAAAUGCAAAUGUCAAGUUUCUUCGUAGAAAAGAAUGGGAGAUACUUGUUCUAGUUUCAGUUUGAAGAUAGCAUGUUUGAAUGUUUCUUAAAGUUAGGGAGCAGGAGGCUAUUGGCAAAAGAAUAUGUUGCUUAUUUAUUGUUUAAUUUUGAGUUUACUUUGUUCCCAUAUUCUUGGCAGUGUAUAGAGAGAUUGUGUUGCAAAUUUUCCUUGUAGGUCACUGAUUUAUUUUGUUUCUUCUAGAUUUAAAGUUUGACUGCAAAUUUUUUAAUUAUAUUUAAUCAAACAAUCAAAUAUAAAUUGCUCAUCCUUUUGGCAAAAUGCAAUGCAAUAUCUACUCUACUUGUUAGCCUUUAAAAGCCAUGACACUUGAAAAUCCUAUAUCUUAAGAUCAACAACAAACUGCUAUAGGGGCAAGAAUUCCUUCUAACCUUAUUUCCCCUAGAAGAGCCUUUUGAGGGUGAAGCCUUAUUAGAUGCCAAGUGCUUCAAGUGAUUGGCAUUGGGGACAAUAUAGUUUCGUAAGAUAAACCUGAAGUACCAUCUUGAGUUUCAAAAUUACCUAUCUAAUGGUCAAGAUAAGUUGAUACAGUCCUUAUUGUCUUGUUUACAUCAUUUAAAUAUAUGCAUCAAUUGCUGCACUCUAUUGGGUGAUUGAUGCAGUUUUGUAUGUGGGAGGAUGUGGUGUUGGACCUAGUGCCGGUAGUGCCAUUUGUAUGAUUGUUAUGGCGUUUCUCAAAAAGAGAAGGUGAUAUUUGUUCCCUCCCUUUGCCAAAUAUCCAUACUCUAGUACAUGAUUUUAUUGUGAUUGAUUCAAGAGUAUUUGAUGAAUGAUUAUAAUUCGCUUAGUUGAUGAAUUGCUGUUAUACACUUGUAUAAAUUAUUGUGGUUUUUGGACAACUUACUUUGCAAGGGAACUGGGUUUUGUCUAAGGCAGAGUUAUGACAAUUCAUAAAGAACAUAGGGGUGAUGAUCUGAGUAUGUGGUGCAUAUGGCUCAAUAAGUGAUAGUAAAAUGCCAUUUCUAUGGCCUAAUACUUUUGCAUCUGUCUUUUUGUCGUGGUUCUUUGUUUUUAAGGUUUUCAACCUCGUGGGCUAUAGAAAGCAGUAAACUCUAUUUACUGUCGGGUAUUGAUGGAGGUACCAUGGAGGUGCUAGUUAAGCAGAGCAGUAGCUGCCCUGUGAACUGGCUCUCUGCAGGUGCUGUGUUCUCCUUUUUCAUCAAAUAUUUUGAUUAGGAAGCUCAAACCAGCAUUCAGCCACUUUGAUGCUGCCUUGGAAGAUGGAAUAACCUUAGUUUAGAUCACAUUGUGAGGCCUUCUGUUUUGGCUCAUGAUGAUCUCUGUUGUGCUUCUAUAGCAUUCAAUAAUUGCAAUCAGUUCUAAAGGAAUUUCUGGUCAUUGAGGGAAAAAAAAUACUGGCAUACUGAUGAUUGUCAAAGAUGUCGUCAUUUACAGUGUUUUCAAAGAUAAAAACUGGUCUGAUUAGUGAUGAACAGAGGUAAAGGACUAGCAUGUUGUUCAAAAUGUUUUAUAUGGUUUGAGUAGGUAUAUUUCAGACACAGAAUCUUGGUUGUUUUAGUUCACCAUUGGGGGUUUUUUAUUGGAAUAUUUAUACAUUUUGUUCAAUGUUUUAAUUGCAUAAAUAUUCUAUGUUUUUUUUAGUAUUGCUUUAUGCAAUACAACUUUUCUCAAGUUUGUUGCUCGGUUCUAGCAUAGUAUAAGAGCAGCUUCACUAUCUGCAAUUUGAUGAACCUAAUACCCUUGUUGGUUGGUUUAAUUUCUGCUUCCACAUUAUUUCUGUUAUUUUCUAUACUUUUGUCUCAUAUCAGCUCCUUUAAAUUUUAGUCUAUUUGGAACCACAAUUAGAUAUUUUCUUGUUGGUCGUUGCAGCAGCUCACUCAUUACCAUGUUUGAUAUGGAUUACACUAGCCUUCAGUCCUUAAAACCACAGUGGGUAACAUUCUUCGUGACUAGGAUUCUUGCAUUUUUUCCUGUACAAACCUGGUUUGACAAAGGUUUUGCUUUCCUUACAAACUGCAGUCACUUAAGGUUUUGCUUUCCUAAAGAGAGAUGUUUUACCUUUUAGCAUAGUGGAACUGCCUUCAGAAGGGAGAAGAUAUGGAUCCCAAGCAUUGUUUAUUUUGUCAUACAAAAUUAUUUAGGCCUUUGGCCUUUGAUGGAUGCUCUAUGAAGAUGCUGCAACCAUGUCAAGUGCGCAGGCCUCUAUUUUGAAUGAUUUUGGAUCUUGUUUUCCUAAUUUUUAAUUAUUUUAGGUUUUAGGGACUGCUAGUGAACCUAGGGUAGUGUUUGGUUGCGGGAUAUCCUGGGGUUAGAAGUGGAUUAUCCUGAUAACCCCCAAAAAAAUCUUUUUGGAUAGAAUAAAAUUGCCAAGUCAAUGGUCAAAAGCGAGUUAACUGGGUUCAUAUUAUUUCACCCUGGUGGGGUGAAAUCUCACUUGUCCUCUACUCCCAUGAGGCCAUGCCCCUUCAUUUCUCCCUUAUUUUUUCACAUUUUUUCCCAACUUAUACCACUAAAUCCCCGAACUUCAACCAAGGGUUUUUAUGACUCCAAGAUAAGAAAAUAUUGAAAGGUUCCUCUCAAAAAAAAAGAGAAAAAAACUAUGGGAGUGUUAGCCAGGAGUUCGCAUUGGUUAACCUGGGAUUUCCUAUCCUGCAACCUAGCAUGGCCUAGAACUGUUAUUCUAUAAGUCAUUAUGCUUCAAUUUAAUGGAUUUUUCGACCAAGGAAGGUGUCAGAGACACCAUUAAUUUAUGUCCGCUCACCUUUAUGCCUUUCCACAGUGCUCUCUUUGUUGUCAUACAUGAUGAAAUUCUGCUCCCUUACAUUCUAUCCACCAGUGGUUGCAUUGCUGACACAGAUUGCAGUUCUUUGCAAAUAACCACCUCGUUGAUGUACGAUGUGACAUUGUGAUGGAUCCCAUAGUGGAUUUCUGCAAUUCCAUGCUGAUUUUGUUCCAAAAAAUGUCUGCCCCCAAAGCCAUAUGCCUAGAAUAAAUUCUGUUUGGAUAUAUCAAUGCCUCCUUUGAAUUCUAGCUAUCUGAAUAACUUUCUUAUGCCAGCUGAGGGCUAGUGCCAGCAUUCAGCAUAUGCCCAACCAAUGGACCUCCUGAAUCAAGCUUGGUAGAAAAGAUCUGCAUUGAUCAGCUGUUGUUGGUCAUCUUAUGUACAAGUGAUGUGAAAUGUUGGCUGCUAUUCUGGUCCUACUGCCUCUGUUGUGUAGUCUUGUGGUCUUUGCAACUUUAGGCUUCAGUAGGAAUUAUUUUAUCGAUAUCGGGAAUUUAUGCUGUGGAUAGUUUUGGAAUUGUAGAGUCCUAUAGACCAUGCCUCAAUUGUCAAUAGAGAAGACUGCAAAGUGGCCUCCUUUGAAAUCCAUCCUUUCCAAGAAUCUGUAAAUUAUAAGGCCACAGUUGCUCUGAAUUGUUAUGGAUGGACUUCAGGAAUAUUACAUAUAAAUAUCUCAUAUUCAAAUUGUUUUUGAUUUAUCGCGUAUGUUCUUAUUCUGUUAGUUAUAACACUGAAAAAUGAAGAUUAACUGAAUUGGAAUAAAAACAGGAGAGAAGUGGUGAAGCUACAUUAUGUAAUAGUUGCCAGAGUAUAUCGGAGGCGUGAUAAAGAAGAGGAACUUUCAUCUGCAGUGAAAAGAAUUGCAUCCUAAAAGGAUGUUAAAGCUGAAGUUACCAAAUGGGAAAAAUGUAAGCUACAGCAUCAGCAGCAGAUGCAUCCAUUCAAAUAGAACAAAUCCAGCCAGUUUAAAACAGUAUCACAUUUAGCCCUCUGCAACUCAAGCUGCAAUGCACUCUUGGCCGGUCUCGAUGAACCUCUAGUGCAGAAGAAAGUGUCAUCCAUGGCUUGACUGGGAUAGAUCCAAGGAAUAAGCAGAUACCGAUGGAUUUCGAACAUUCAUGUUGAUCUAUAUGUGGAUUCCUCAGAUAGUUUAUUUCAUACAUCGAGUGAUCUUGGUGAUGUUUGCUCUCUAGAAGUAUGCUAGAUUUUCUCAAACCAGAUGAUCAUAAAACCUGAUUCUUUCUAAAACAAAUCUUAUGAAAAAAUAGGAGUUAGAAUUGUCUUUUGUCCAUCUCUUACGAUUUAUCAGUAGUUGACAAAACUACCGAUAAAGCCGGAGGAUCAAAUCUUGUAUCUGCCAAAAAGCUUUUGAAGGGAGAAAGGAAUAAGAAAAAAAAGUGGUUAUUUUGGUCAA